rnacentral:misc_RNA from 1 species
CGUAGAUGAUCCAAGAACCUUGAACAAGACCCUCCUCAUUAAGCCUCCUAAUAAUGUUUACACUUUCAAUGAGCUUGUUGCUCUGUGGGAGAAGAAGUUGGGCAAGAUCCUCGAGAAAACCUAUGUUCCAGAAGAGCAGCUUCUCAAAGACAUCCAAGCUGCCCCAAUUCCAUUUAAUGUUGGUCUGGCAAUCAAUCACUCUGUCUUUAUUAAGGGAGAUCAGACAAACUUUGAGAUUGAG